CCCCUAGAUGUUCUGGGCCGCACGCGCGCUACACUGAACAGUUCAACAAGUCUUAACCUUGGCCGAUAGGUCUGGGCAAUCUUUGAACGCUGGUCGUGAUGGGGAUAGACUUUUGCAAUUUUUGGUCUUCAACGAGGAAUUCCUAGUAAACGCAAGUCAUCAACUUGCAUUGAUUACGUCCCUGCCCUUUGUACACACCGCCCGUCGCACCUACCGAUUGAAUGGUCCGGUGAAGCCUCCGGAUUGGCGCGCACCCCGGUGCCGCCGAGAAGUUGGCUAAACCUUACCAUUUAGAGGAAGGUGAAGUCGUAACA
rnacentral:rRNA from 1 species